AACUGGGUCCGUACAGGUCAAAUGCGACACCAUCCUGUGUGAUUUGAUUAUCCGCCUGCUGCCUCGAUGCAGCUACACCACCUCACUCUUUCAUUACAGGGGAAGCAGAGGUGGGGCGGGAAUGUGCUCAUCAUGAGGCAGUCACGGAUCUUGACUCGGUCUAGACGAGAGAUCUGAGAGUCUCCAUCCGUCAUCUUUCAGGAUCCUCCUCAUGCUUCAGUGGCGGUGGGAAGUGCACCUCUGCACAGGAAGUGUACACAGCUCCGUUUCCCAGGAGUCGCUUGGCUCAUCACCAGACGACAUUACGUUGGGCUUCAUGCUGUCAGCUGGAUGACUGAACCUGACGGAGUUCUGGUCCAGUCUUUGCUCUACACCUGCACUUGUGGUCUUCGCACUGCUGUCCGCAUGUUUGUCCACCGAAGAGAGGAAUGAGAGGUGGCACAGCCCAGAUCGGGAUCUAAAGUCAGAGGAGCUGUGAAUGAACAAGAGCGGUGAAGGUGCUCCCACAGUCAUACCGCGGUCUUCCUUGACUGAAUGUUUGUGCCAAAUCUGGAGAAAUUCCCUUCAAGAUAUCAUGUUCAUGGGAAGGAUGAAGGAAGGAUGUACGGCCAGAUUGGCAACCUGAAAACUUAAUGCCUCCGGUAACAGUGUCAUAAAGGGCUGACACAAACUCAGGAGACCUUCAGGUAAGAUCACAGUUUUACAUUUUUUUUACUGUAAUUUUGACAAAAGUGUGUGAUAAACAUCAAUUGUCACUUUCAAACUGCACUUGAUGCAUAAUGUGUUG
rnacentral:lncRNA from 1 species